CCGAAUUGGACGGAGCCCUAAUUUCUGGUAACUCGACGGUUGGAGCAGGCGGAGGGGCUAAACCAGAAUCAAGAAGUUCAACAUAGCGAAUCCGACCACCGGCUGUCGGAAGAAACUUGAGAUUGAUGAUCACGCCAAGCUGAAACUUAACUGUGCAAGUGAGGGGAAGAAUUCUGGUAAGGCCAAGAACAAGCAGCAGGGAAUAGAGCGAAACAACGACCGAUUUCACUACUUUUGCUCCUCUUUCAGUGCCUACCCUAACCUGUACAACACAGACGGAACCCUUUGAAACAAGAAACACUGCAAUGUGUUCUACUGUCAUGGUUCAAGCUGGAAGUAAGAUGUCCGUACCAGAGGAUCAAAGAUGUGGUGAAGCCGACAAGGAAAGAUGCAGAAAGGAUCCUGCCGUUUAGAGGAACAUGGCUUGUCUGACUGCGAAAACCAAUACAAAGGUUUCAGUAAAAUCAUGUUCAACCGACACUGGGAAAGAACAACGCAGGAAAAAAGGGAAUGUGAUCGAAGAAUGCUUUGGCACAAACCUCGAGCUAGCCAGAAGUAAAUAGAAAGCAGUAGUCGCGAAUGGGCCGAAAGCAGCAAAGCAUAGUGGCUCUCCUAGUCCAUGGUAACUUAGCCGGAAUGGUGGGCACUGAAAAAUUUUCAGAGUUUUAACACAAGUCAGAAUUUUUUAUAUGGAAAGUGUAAUCCUUUCUUUUGUGGAAAAAAAAAACAGAUGUAGUUCUUGGCAUUCCAAAUUGUAAUAUAUCAAGUUUCAAGAAUCAGAGAGUUUGAAUUACAUUCA